UACGGAGGGAGCUAGCGUUGUUCGGAAUUACUGGGCGUAAAGCGCGCGUAGGCGGCUUUGUAAGUUAGAGGUGAAAGCCCGGGGCUCAACCCCGGAAUUGCCUUUAAGACUGCAUCGCUUGAAUCCGGGAGAGGUGAGUGGAAUUCCGAGUGUAGAGGUGAAAUUCGUAGAUAUUCGGAAGAACACCAGUGGCGAAGGCGGCUCACUGGACCGGCAUUGACGCUGAGGCACGAAAAGCGUGGGGGAUCAAACAGGG
rnacentral:rRNA from 1 species